AUGUUUUUCCUAACUUUCAAAUUAUUAGUAAUAGCUCAUUACCUAACUUUUCCAACUGUCUUAUAUAAGUAUACAUGCAUAUCAGUAUUUUUAGGCUUGGAAGUUGCUCAUUCUAAACAAGGUAUCUCCCUUUGCAAAAGAAAAUACUGCCUCGAUCUCUUGACUGACUCAGGAUUCUUGGGAUCUAAACCUGCACGCACACCAUUUGAUAUAUCCAUCAAGUUAUGUUAUGAUGAUAGUUUUGCAUUUGUUGAUAUUCCUUCCUAUCGAAGACUAUUGGCAGACUAUUAUAUCUUAAUACUACAAGACCCGAUAUCACCUUAA